rnacentral:lncRNA from 1 species
GCAAGAACGGUACAUGUGCUUGGCUUAGACCUGAUGGCAAAACCCAAGUGACCGUUGAGUACCAAAACGACAAUGGCGCGAUGGUUCCCCUACGUGUUCACACUGUUUUGAUCUCCACUCAACAUGACGAGACUGUUACAAACGAUGAAAUUGCUCGUGAUCUCAAAGAGCAUGUCAUCAAGCCCGUGAUCCCCGAGAAAUAUCUUGAUGAGAAGACCAUUUUCCACCUCAACCCUUCGGGCCGUUUUGUCAUUGGAGGACCCCACGGUGAUGCUGGUCUCACUGGCCGAAAGAUCAUCAUCGACACUUACGGAGGGUGGGGUGCUCAUGGAGGUGGUGCUUUCUCGGGGAAGGACCCUACCAAGGUUGACAGAAGUGGAGCCUAUAUUGUGAGGCAAGCAGCGAAGAGCAUUGUUGCCAAUGGUCUUGCUAGGAGGUGCAUUGUUCAGGUUUCGUACGCCAUUGGUGUGCCUGAACCUUUAUCUGUCUUUGUGGACACUUAUGGAACUGGGAAAAUCCCUGAUAAGGAAAUUCUCAACAUUGUGAAGGAGAACUUUGAUUUCAGGCCCGGGAUGAUUUCCAUUAACCUCGAUCUAUUGAGGGGUGGAAAUGGCCGAUUCUUGAAGACUGCUGCCUAUGGACAUUUUGGUAGAGAUGAUCCUGACUUCACAUGGGAAGUAGUCAAGCCUCUCAAGUGGGAAAAGCCACAAGCUUAAUUGGAAUAUAAU